UUGACCUAUGAAUUGACAGCCG
rnacentral:miRNA from 1 species